rnacentral:misc_RNA from 1 species
AAGUCAUAACAAGGUUACUGUAGGUGAACCUGCAGUAGGAUCAUUAUUGAAAAUAAGGCUUUCCCAUUCUUUGGGGCCCGAACCUUCACAUAAUUUCCACACACUUGUGAAUCGUUGGAGCGUUUUAGAUUCUGGUAUUUAUUUACUUUUUGAAGAGACGCUCUGGCACCCAUAUAAUUAUUACAAACACUGAGUUAAUGGAUGUAGUUGUAAACUUGUCUUUUUGACAGAAACAAAAAUACAA